rnacentral:misc_RNA from 1 species
GUUGUUUGAUCCUGGCUCCACACACUCAUAUGUUAGUGCUAGCAUUGCUUGUUCUGCUACUAUUCCCUACUUGAAAAUGGACGUUGAUGUACUAGUGACUAGUCUAAUUAGGUUAGGAGGUCAGAGUAAAUAGGUUGUAUAAGGAUUGUCCUUUGGUGAUCCUAGGACAUACAUUCUUGUCAGACUUAAUUGAGAUGCCCUUCAGGGAUUAUGAUAUUAUCUUGGGUAUGGAGUGGCUAUCCAUGCAUCAUGCCCUUCCUAAGUACGCAGAUGUAGUAAUACACGGGGGAGAGACAGUAAUUGCCAUCCAACAUCAUCAUUUCAACUGCACUUGCUAGAAAGAUGAUUA